GUACUGAUGAAGAGUCUCAAAUAGGGACGAAACAGCUGUCAAGUAC
rnacentral:hammerhead_ribozyme from 1 species